UGAUAAAAAUUUAGGUAACUUACAGAGAAUUUGGCCAUAGUUCUUUCAUACUGUUGCUUGUUUUAUCCUGAUCAUUUUUGGGAGUGAAUGCAAUGCUUAUCACUAUAGAUAUUGAAUACAUUAAGAUAAAUGUAUUUUUAUCUUUUGUACAUACUGGUAACCAGCUUUUUUUCACAUGCUUUAACUUUAAUUUGCACAUGAGAACAUUUAGCAUUUAAGGUUCAUUGCAAUAUUCUUGUCAAAGGUAUUUAUUGUUGCUUACGGUCAUGUUUUUAUGCCUCUCGUAUAAUAUGCUUAUAUCUACAAAGGCUUCAUCUUUAAGAUUGGUCACUGUGAACCAUAGUGGAUGGUUGUGGCCAUUUUUAGACUUUAUUGAUCUUCUCUAUAAGAAGAGUUUUGUAUAAAGAUUUAGGAAAAUCCUCAAAACUAACAGCUUAAAUUUUUGGAUUUUUUUUUGUUACUAAAUAAUAGUUUAUAGCUUAACAAAUCAUAACUAAAGAAAUAAAGGUAGGCAUGAUUUGUAAUUUGUGGAUCAACCAGCCUCCGUAAGCACAGGUUAUUGUUGAAAUAAAGUUUUUGUGAAGAUAAGUUGGUUUUCAGUAUAUGUGAAUUAAAGAAGACCUGUUGAAAUAAUGAACAAUCAUUUACAGUAUAUGCUCGUGAAAUCCUUUGGUUUUGUUUUCAUUGAAGAAUUUAUGUUAAAGCAAGAAUGUUUGUUAUUAUAAUAGUAGUUUGUUACAGCAGUUAAGAUCUCAUAAUUACAUUAAACAAAGUGUAUAAAUGUGGAUUAUUUGUAUGCUGUUACAGUCAACUUGUUAUUGUGUGGAGAAAAAUAGAAACAAUUUAGAUAAUAUGCUUUGAUCUUCUGAGAUAUCAUAUUUUAGAGAUAUCCUAUUCCAUAAAUGUCAGGCUAUAUAUAUACACUGAAUCUUCAUAUGAACAAGGGAUCAAAGCUUUAGGUCUGUGUUUUAUUCAGAGCAGUGGAUUUUUUUUUUUACAUAUCAUUUAGAGGUUACAAAUACAUUUACAUUGACUUUAAACUUGAUGAAAAUGUCACCCUGAGAUAUUUUAGUAUAAUGAGACAAUGACGAGAUGUUGAAGUGAGAUUUGGUGAGAUAUUUGUGUCUUGUAAUCAGAUAUUAGGUCAUCAUUCAGAGUUUUUGUAUGUACAGGAACUGAAAAUGUCAAUGACCGGUACUGAGAUAACUUGGUAUGAUGAGAUGUUUUACUGAGAUCUGAUGAGAUAUUUGUGUUUUGUAAUGAGAUAUCAUGUCAUCUGAUGAGAUAAAGGUACCAGCAUUUAUUGGUAUUUGGUAUUUAAAUGCAACAUAUUUCAUGUACUACAUGUAUGUAUCAAUUGAUAAUAUACAUUUAUGUUUAU
rnacentral:sRNA from 1 species